AUGGUCACCGAAUCGUGCGGGUGAGAUCCGCGUUCAGGUUCGAGCAUCGCGUAGCGAUACGACAACGCGCAGCGUUGCCCGUAGGGUGAGGCCACAGGCCGAAUCAAUCCUGCACGACCCACCA
rnacentral:sRNA from 1 species